GACGAACGCUGGCGGCGCGCUUAACACAUGCAAGUCGAACGGAAAGGCCUGCUUUCCCUUGUGGAUUGCGGGUACUCGAGUGGCGAACGGGUGAGUAACACGUGAGUGAUCUGCCCCCAACUUGGGUAUAAGCCUGGGAAACUGGGUCUAAUUCCCGAUAGGACUGCAGGGUGGUGCCUGUGGUGGAAAACGAUUUUCUAGUGGCUGGGGAUGAGCUCGCGGCCUAUCAGCUUGUUGGUGGGGUAAUGGCCUACCAAGGCGGCGACGGGUAGCCGGCCUGAGAGGGUGGACGGCCACAUUGUGACUGAGAUACGGCCCAGACUCCGACGGGAGGCAGCAGUGGGGAAUAUUGCACAAUGGGCGGAAGCCUGAUGCAGCGACGCCGCGUGGGGGAUGACGGCCUUCGGGGUGUAAACUCCUUUCGACCGCGAGGAAGCCACCUGGUUGGAAGGGUGGUGACGGUAGUGGUAGAAGAAGCACCGGCUAACUACGUG
rnacentral:rRNA from 1 species